GAAUUUGUGUUGGGUAACACGGUAUUAUUGAAGAACGAGGGGUGAGACCGAUAGGCGGGAUUUAAUUAUCCCGUGGCAAAUUAGAGUUAAACAAAAAUUUUCUGCACAAGUUAUGGUUUCUAAAGUGUCAUUAGGAUUCUCGUCGUCUUCGAAGUUUGUUGUGUUUGUUGUUGUGGAAGGUUAUGUUAUUGAUAAAUUUUUUUUUUGAAUUCGUUGCAAUUUACCACAUCCCGAACAUGGAAAAAAUUGACUCAGCCGUUUGGAUAUCGAUUUUACUCAUUUUUCAGGAUGGAUAUGAUAUAUACCACUUGUUGAGGCUUAAUAUCACCAAAUUCGGAAUGUUGUCAACAAUGUACUCUGAGUCUACCUGCUCGAAGGGCAUCGACCGUGGCUGCUGAGUAAGAAUGCCUCGAUUAUUGAUGGUACCUACUGCCACUGGCUCAUGUGAAGCCGAUCGACGCGUCCGACUUCGUCACGUUCCGAUUGUGAUGGAAGGGCGUAUGGGGUUGCUGGAAUUUUACGGCUCAUUGGGUAAAAGCAUCAGUGCGGCAGUGAUGGCAAUUUGUUAACAAUCGUUAACGUAAUAUUAACAUUAUGUUCAGACACAGAAGGUGAACCGGUACGAGUUGUACUGGUUGGUAACGGAGUAUGUAUAUCAAAGUCAAGUUCACGGCCGCCUCGGAUGAUUGCAUUAAUUAUGCAGAUAAUGUGUAGGUAAGUUUGAUACUAUUUCCUUCAUAUUUUCAAACUCAUCUCUUAAGUUAUGGUCGGAGAAAUUGCUCAGUUUGACGUUGGUUUUGUCUAUUGUUUAUGUGUUUUGUUUAGCCACCGCAUUCUUGUUGGAGGUACACAGCGUUCACGGCCAAAUGCGGAAUAACAAGUUUUGCUGUGCCGCUUCGGGUGGUUUUUUCACCUUUCGCUUUCAUUCAUAGCGUUCUUACAUUGCGCCCUGCAUUAGGGCAGCCUUUUCACACUUAUACAGCAAUAGCUAUUUAUCA